GACGAACGCUGGCGGCGUGCCUAAUACAUGCAAGUAGGACGCAGUUGCGAACGGGUGAGUAACGCGUAGGUAACUACCUAUUAGAGGGGGAUAAAUACUGGAAACGAUAGCUAAUACCGCAUACUAGUAGAUGGACCUGCGUUGUAUUAGCUAGUAGGUAGGGUAAUGGCCUACCUAGGCAACGAUACAUAGCCGGCUAUGGGCGGUGGACGGCCAAACUGGGACUGGGGAACCGGCCAGACUCCCUCGGGGGGCAACAGUAGGGGAUCAUCGGCAAAGGGGGGAAACCUGGCCGAGCAACGGCGCGGGGGUGGAAGAGGUUUUCGGGUCGUAAAACUCUUUUGUUAGGGGAGCGGUACUUAAACAGAAAGGGACGGCUAACUACGUGCCAGCCGCCGCGGUAAUUC
rnacentral:rRNA from 1 species